CCCCUCCAGCUUCCACGGCGCCCGCCCUCCUCUACCUCACAUGACGCACGGGGUCACUACCUUCUCGUUCCCCGCACACGACGGCCGUACAGUUUGACGUGCAGGUGGAGAGGAGAGGCGAUGGCUCCUUCCCUGGGCAGCGCCGGUGCUCACCCUGCCUCUCCACAGCCAGCGAACAAUGGGACUGGUCUCGACGAUGCUAGAAGACGGCGGCGACGGUGAACGAGGGUGGGGCGGCUGGCUUGACGGCCCCUCCAGCUCCCCUGCCACCGCAGCCGCUGAGGACGUCGUCCUCGUCCGUGCCGCCGAUGACGGCGUGCCUCCACUUGAUGGCGCUGCCCCUCGCCCUCCGGCCGACACCCGCAGCUAUCGUGGCCCGCACUCGGGUUCCUGUAACCGCCGAGAACGGCAGCUUCUCUCCGCGCUCCCGUGGCCUUCCCCGCCGUCGCGUUCAAAGCGUGGCUAUACGGUGCCGCUCGAGCACGAAGCCGGCCACGUUCCACGCAUCCCAUCGCCCCGCACCCGCUCAACGGCCUUCCUGGAGCAGUCCGAGGCCACUGCCGCCACUUCCGUCUAAUAGGUCGCCCCCUCCCCUGUCCCCGCAGUUCCUCCCCGACGUCAGUUGCUCCCACCACAGCUGCGAUGCUGCCCCGCGCUCGUCGCGUGCACGUAUGCCGCGUACAUGCCAUGACGCGACGGCGACAGCGAAUGACCGCGGGACACCUCGCGUGACGGCGAGGUAAGCCAUGCGAUCAGCGGGACGGCACGAUUUGCCGGUGGGGUUGCCGAGCGGCGGCGCAGCAGCUCGCAACGACGUGUGCGAUGAUGUGACAACUAAGAUGCCCUAUAUGUGUUCGGUGAAAUGUGCACAAGUCAUCCGAGCGUCCAGCGGCCUGAUCACAGCCGCGGUCAGCACACGCAGCAUCGACCACCCACCUGUGGCUAAUGAAGCUUAAUAUUCAAGCUGGGUGGCAUGACAUCUUGGGGAUCCGGAGCGCACGAAGGGCUGUAGGGCACAGCGGCUCACGCGCAUGGCAGGUCAGCGAUUGGGCUAGCUGGACCGCGAGUGGGGUUAGCGUACACUCAGCUUCAGCACUGGCUCUCCCUCCUCUCCGGCAUUGUAUUCUCUGCAUGGCACUUUACACUUCCUAGAUGGCCAAGCAGGUGCACAAGGAUGGAGAUGCCCAUCAGACAACUCAUUAUCAUGAUUGGGCGCGGUGCCACAUGAUUCGGUGAUCCCCUGGUGUGCCACAAGUGGUACACAAGCUUGCUGCAUCCAUCCGUCAUCAUCUGCGGUGCAAAUAAUUCGGUGUCAUAUGCCGGUUGUAGAGAAGGGCAACACGCACUAUGAUAGAGGAAAAGGAGAACGCAACCUCAGCGUCAAUUUUUUAUCACAGGACUUGCACCUCGAAAGGCCCAAUGGUUUAGAAACUCAGGC